rnacentral:lncRNA from 1 species
ACAAGGUCUUUAGAACAUUAUAUUUCAUAAAAGACAAUGAUAAAAAAGUACAAACAUUUCCAUGAGAAGCAAAAAAAAAAAAAAAAAAUGAGAGUACAAGAAAUUACUAGCAUUUAUUUCAGUGCAUUUAUAUAGAAGCCUUUUAGAUCUUAAUAAAUAAAAUAAUCUUAAGUACACUUCCUUUUUCUGAUAAACACUAUGACCAUUUCAGUUCUCUCAUUGGCAUAUUUGCAAAUACAAGAUAAUACAUCUAGAGUACCAGUAUUUGUCUGAAAAGUACACAAAGAAAUAUAACCGAGACAAACAAAGGCCAAAUCAAAUGACACACAAUCUGCUUUGACUUGUACAGAACCUCCAAAAUGAAGGAGAAUAUUGAACUGGUAUUUUUCCAUUUUGUUUUAAAAUGGAUAUCAAUACCUUGGCUAGGAAAGGAGAAUAAGCAAGUUUUAACACAUAAUUUUGUAUUUACAUAAUAUUGCAAAUAAGGGUUUAUUUUUAUGGAACACCUUUUCACAAAUUACAAACAGAAAUUUAUAUUUAGACUGAAAAAAUAUUCAUUAAACCCCAGUUUUGGCAAAGACUUAAAUGACAAUCUGAAUGAGAAUUGAGACAUAAUGUUACAGCAAAUGUGUACACUUUUUCAUUUUCUUUUCUACAAACAGGCCCAUUAAUCAUUCCUACUUUCUCUAGUCGAAAGGCACUGUAUAACUUUCCCAGCAGUGCUAUAGGGAGCUCGGAAUUAUGUCUAUCUAUAUACAUUUCUUGCCUUUGAGACUAAAAAAUACAAUGUAUAAGUUAACAGAAGACGUUUUCAUAAUUUUAGAAAGGUUUUAAUCUGCUUGACUUGAUUUGUUUAGAACGGAAAUGUUUUCUUUGACAUACCUGGCACUGCACCUAAUCGAGUAGGUAAUCAACACAUGCACGCUAACAAAGCCACUGAGCUAUAAAGACAGUCUGCAUUUGUAAUGUAUUUGUUAA